rnacentral:rRNA from 1 species
UGAACGCUGGCGGCGUGCUUAACACAUGCAAGUCGAUCGGUAACGCGGGGGCAACCCUGGCGACGAGAGGCGGACGGGUGAGGAACGCUUGGGAAUCUGCCCUUCAGCGGGGGACAACCCGGGGAAACCCGGGCUAAUACCGCAUACGCUCCACGGAGGAAAGCCGGGGACCGCAAGGCCUGGCACUGAAGGAUGAGCCCAAGUCGGAUUAGCUAGUUGGCGGGGUAACGGCCCACCAAGGCGACGAUCCGUAGCUGGUCUGAGAGGACGAUCAGCCACACUGGGACUGAGACACGGCCCAGACUCCUACGGGAGGCAGCAGUGGGGAAUAUUGGACAAUGGGGGAAACCCUGAUCCAGCGACGCCGCGUGGGUGAAGAAGGCCUGCGGGUUGUAAAGCCCUUUCGGUAGGGACGAAAGCCUCCGACCUAACACGUCGGGGGUUGACUUAACCUACAGAAGAAGCACCGGCUAACUCUGUGCCAGCAGCCGCGGU